ensembl:lncRNA
UACCUUGUUAGAUUUUUCCUUAUGCCAGUGAUUCUUUAAGUGCACUCCUUGGACCAGCAUCAUCAUCAUCAUCAUCAUCAUCAUCAUCAUGACCUGAGAACUUGUUAGACAUGUAAAUUACUCGGCCCCCCUCCAGGCCUAUUAAAUCAGAAAGUCUUGAGGCGGGGUCCCGCCAUCUGGUCUAACAAGCACUCCAGGUGAUUCUGAUGAAGACUAAGGUUUGCUUACCACUGAUUUCUGCAGUGGACUUGCUGGUUUACGCCCUGGGUCUCUCGCCAUAGUAGAAAAGAGAAUUGGAGAGAUAUGGCUGGACAGAGAGAGAGCAGCAAUGGCAAAGAAGGCACUCUUAAUGGUAAGCUGUUUUGUUCAGCCACGGAGUGUGUUUUCUGCUGCAGCAACGUGUUUUAUCGAUGGAUUUCAAACAUGCAGAUGCUACAUUGGUCUCAAGCAAUUUCAAGGUGGAAUUUCUCUCUCCCCUUCCAUCUCAGGCCUCCAGUCAAGGAAUAGAAUGUGCAUCACAAAGCAUUCUACCAAGACUCAAAUAAGCUGUGGUUCAACCAUUUGCCUGUGUGGCCUAUGCAGAUACAUGCAAGGUCGUUACAGUACCCCGAUGGAACCUUUCCCUGUGCUCUGUAGUUCUUCUCAGGUUCUCCAGACACAUCCUACCUCCAUAUUGGAGAUCUUUACUUGCAGUUUCCUUCAGGCUGUUGAUACACUCACCUCCAGUCUAUCAUUCACUGCUCUUUCUGAGCCCACUAUGUUGAUAAAUUACUUCAGGGAAUGUUUAACACGGGGUCCAGUGUACUGCUAAUAUGGUAUAUCUAUUUGGAAUAUAAUAAUUACUUCUCCAUUCAUUCACUAAAUACUUGGGUAUGAAUACUUUACUAUUUUCCUGGCGCAAGUUUGAAUUUCUUUGAUAUUUUUCAUCCUACUCUAUUAGAGAAGCAUUUGUAAUAGAGAACUCUGAGAUUAAGGUGAUGCCACUAAAUAUUCGUUCUUUAGGGUGUUGUGCAAAUCUCAGCAGGGCCAUGUUUAUGGAUUGCUCUGUAGAGCAUUGAGAAUAUUGUAACUCUGUUUUUUGUAACUCAUCCUCAAUUCAGUGCACAUAUAUUUCAGGCAUGGAAGCAGAAAACUACUCCCAGCUUCUACUUUCCCCCUUAUUUUCUCCUUCCACACUUUAGGUAUUAGGAAAUUUUCAAAAUAAACACUUUUAGAACUAGUUUACAGGAUCUGGUUGGAAUCUUACAGACCUAUCAUUUUGAGAGCCAAGAAUGGCUCAAAUCUUCUGCUCAUUUACCAUUUUUUGACAUUCCUCAGUACCCCCCAACCUUUGGAAUAUUAAAAUUGAGGUAUUUUUGGCUAACCUUUUUAUAUACACUCAAAUUCUUCCUCAUCAAAAUAAGUUUAAAUGCAAGUCCUGUUUUUAAUUUCAGCACACCUCCCUAGGUUCAGCAGCAUGAACUUUGGUGGCCUACAAUUUUUAAAUUCAAAUUUUAAAAAUUAGUGCGAAAGGUAAGUAGAAUAAAAAGUCAUUUUCCAGAUACCCAUUUUCCAGUUGCUCCCUAGUGAUCCAGAGUAAUUAACAUCCUCAGCAAUUUCCAGUAUGAUUGCAGUCACUUCAUUCCUGAAGAUACUCUCAGGUACUCCACUUUCCCAGAGGCUUUAAAUCAGCCUGUAGUGUCUCUCAAAUUUUAGCAUCAUCCUGUUCACAGAUAUUUCCCAUACCAGUGGUGAGCUAAGUGUGCUUUCCUCUACAUAUCAAUCUUUUCACACUGUCAUUGAUAGUGUUCCAAGCAUCAAACGACUCUGUUUCAUAUGUGAACAAUACUAGGAUCAUAAUGAUACCAAACAAUGUAAUUGUCACUAGCCUAUAAACCAUGGGUUAGCAAGUCAUAAUCAAUGGACUAAAUUCAGCUAGCCACUUGUUUUUGCAAAUAAAGUUUUGUUGGAAAACAGU